rnacentral:rRNA from 1 species
AUGCCUACGGGACGCAGCAGUGAGGAAUAUUGGUCAAUGGGCGCGAGCCUGAACCAGCCAAGUCGCGUGAGGGAAGACGGUCCUAUGGAUUGUAAACCUCUUUUGUCGGGGAGCAAAAGACGCCACGCGUGGCGUUCCGAGAGUACCCGAAGAAAAAGCAUCGGCUAACUCCGUGCCAGCAGCCGCGGUAAUACGGAGGAUGCGAGCGUUAUCCGGAUUUAUUGGGUUUAAAGGGUGCGCAGGCGGCACGGCAAGCCGGCGGUCAA